rnacentral:rRNA from 1 species
UACGUAGGGGGCUAGCGUUGUCCGGAAUCAUUGGGCGUAAAGAGCGCGUAGGCGGCUGGAAUAGUCCGGUGUGAAAUCCACAGGCUUAACCUGUGAAUGCCGCUGGAAACUGUCUGGCUAGAGUCCGGAAGGGGCGAGUGGAAUUCCUGGUGUAGCGGUGAAAUGCGCAGAUAUCAGGAGGAACACCAAUGGCGAAGGCAGCUCGCUGGGACGGUACUGACGCUGAGGAGCGAAAGCGUGGGGAGCGAACAGG